rnacentral:rRNA from 1 species
AGAGUUUGAUCCUGGCUCAGGAUGAACGCUGGCGGCGUGCCUAACACAUGCAAGUCGAACGGAGUUACUUUGGUGAAGUUUUCGGAUGGAUCUGAUUUAACUUAGUGGCGGACGGGUGAGUAAUGCGUGAGCAACCUGCCCUUCAGAGGGGGACAACAGUUGGAAACGACUGCUAAUACCGCAUAAUGUAUUCGGAAGGCAUCUUCUGGAUACCAAAGGAGAAAUCCGCUGAUGGAUGGGCUCACGUCUGAUUAGCUAGUUGGUGAGGUAACGGCUCACCAAGGCUGCGAUCAGUAGCCGGACUGAGAGGUUGAACGGCCACAUUGGGACUGAGAUACGGCCCAGACUCCUACGGGAGGCAGCAGUGGGGAAUAUUGGGCAAUGGGCGCAAGCCUGACCCAGCAACGCCGCGUGAAGGAAGAAGGCUUUCGGGUUGUAAACUUCUUUUAAGAGGGAAGAGCAGAAGACGGUACCUCUAGAAUAAGCCACGGCUAACUACGUGCCAGCAGCCGCGGUAAUACGUAGGUGGCAAGCGUUGUCCGGAAUUACUGGGUGUAAAGGGAGCGUAGGCGGGAUGCCAAGUCAGCUGUGAAAACUAUGGGCUUAACUUGUAGACUGCAGUUGAAACUGGUAUUCUUGAGUGAAGUAGAGGUUGGCGGAAUUCCGAGUGUAGCGGUGAAAUGCGUAGAUAUUCGGAGGAACACCGGUGGCGAAGGCGGCCAACUGGGCUUUAACUGACGCUGAGGCUCGAAAGUGUGGGGAGCAAACAGGAUUAGAUACCCUGGUAGUCCACACUGUAAACGAUGAAUACUAGGUGUGCGGGGACUGACCCCCUGCGUGCCGCAGUAAACACAAUAAGUAUUCCACCUGGGGAGUACGAUCGCAAGGUUGAAACUCAAAGGAAUUGACGGGGGCCCGCACAAGCGGUGGAUUAUGUGGUUUAAUUCGAAGCAACGCGAAGAACCUUACCAGGGCUUGACAUCCAACUAACGAAGCAGAGAUGCAUUAGGUGCCCUUCGGGGAAAGUUGAGACAGGUGGUGCAUGGUUGUCGUCAGCUCGUGUCGUGAGAUGUUGGGUUAAGU